CAGAUGGGUUCAAGGAUGGUGGCGCGGUGGCUUGUGCCCACUGUCAUUGAUCCAGAACAAUCUCUUUCUCGACUACCAGAUAACAGCCUCUAUUUUCACACAGCAGAAGCCAAUGCCAUAUCAACAGCUCUUAAAUAUAUUAAUAAACACCCUAAAUAUAAACAAUAUACAUGUAUAAUAUU